GAUGAACGCUGACAGAAUGCUUAACACAUGCAAGUCUUUGGCGAAGCUGUGCUCGCACAGCCUAGCCAAGGCGGACGGGUGAGUAACGCGUAAGGAACUUGCCCUGCAGUCAGGGAUAACAGACGGAAACGACUGAUAAGACCUGGUAAAGUCAGGCGGACUCAUGUCCAGCCUGAUGAAAAGAGAUGCUGCAGGAGAGCCUUGCGUCCUAUUAGCUUGUUGGUGGGGUAACGGCCCACCAAGGCGAUGAUAGGUAGCCGGCCUGAGAGGGUGGACGGCCACAAGGGGACUGAGAUACGGCCCUUACUCCUACGGGAGGCAGCAGUGGGGAAUAUUGGACAAUGGGGGCAACCCUGAUCCAGCAAUUCUGUGUGCACGGUGAAGGUUUUCGGAUUGUAAAGUGCUUUCAGCAGGGAAGAAAAAAAUGACGGUACCUGCAGAAGAAGCGACGGCUAAAUACGUG
rnacentral:rRNA from 1 species